UACGGAGGGAGCGAGCGUUGUCCGAAGUUACUGGGCGUAAAGCGCGCGUAGGCGGGGUAUUAAGUGAGAGGUGAAAGGCUUGGGCUCAACCUGAGCACUGCCUCUCAUACUGGUACUCUUGAGGGCGGUAGGGAGAAGUGGAAUGGCUGGUGUAGCGGUGAAAUGCGUAGAUAUCAGUCGGAACACCGGUGGCGAAGGCGGCUUCUUGGGCCGUUCCUGACGCUGAGGCGCGAAAGCUAGGGGAGCGAACGGG
rnacentral:rRNA from 1 species